CCUACGGGUGGCAGCAGUGGGGAAUAUUGGACAAUGGGGGGAACCCUGAUCCAGCCAUGCCGCGUGUGUGAAGAAGGCCCUCGGGUUGUAAAGCACUUUCAGUGAGGAAGAACGCCUGGUGGUUAAUACCCAUCAGGAAAGACAUCACUCACAGAAGAAGCACCGGCUAACUCCGUGCCAGCAGCCGCGGUAAUACGGAGGGUGCGAGCGUUAAUCGGAAUUACUGGGCGUAAAGCGCGCGUAGGUGGCUUGAUAAGCCGGUUGUGAAAGCCCCGGGCUCAACCUGGGAACGGCAUCCGGAACUGUCAAGCUAGAGUGCGGGAGAGGAAGGUAGAAUUCCCGGUGUAGCGGUGAAAUGCGUAGAGAUCGGGAGGAAUACCAGUGGCGAAGGCGGCCUUCUGGACUGACACUGACACUGAGGUGCGAAAGCGUGGGUAGCAAACAGGAUUAGAUACCCCAGUAGUC
rnacentral:rRNA from 1 species